UACAGAGGUCCCGAGCGUUGUUCGGAUUCAUUGGGCGUAAAGGGUGCGUAGGCGGUCUGCUAAGUUUGAUGUGAAAUCCCGGGGCUCAACCCUGGAAUGGCAUUGAAUACUGGCGGACUAGAGUCCCGGAGAGGAAACUGGAAUUUACGGUGUAGCAGUGAAAUGCGUAGAGAUCGUAAGGAAGACCAGUGGCGAAGGCGAGUUUCUGGACGGGUACUGACGCUGAGGCACGAAGGCCCGGGGAGCAAACGGG
rnacentral:rRNA from 1 species